rnacentral:rRNA from 1 species
GACGAACGCUGGCGGCGUGCUUAACACAUGCAAGUCGAACGGAAAGGCCCUGCUUUUGUGGGGUGCUCGAGUGGCGAACGGGUGAGUAACACGUGAGUAACCUGCCCUUGACUUUGGGAUAACUUCAGGAAACUGGGGCUAAUACCGGAUAGGAGCUCCUGCUGCAUGGUGGGGGUUGGAAAGUUUCGGCGGUUGGGGAUGGACUCGCGGCUUAUCAGCUUGUUGGUGGGGUAGUGGCUUACCAAGGCUUUGACGGGUAGCCGGCCUGAGAGGGUGACCGGCGACAUAGGGACUGCGAGACGGCGCAGAUGCGGAGGGGAGGCAGGAGUGGAGAAGAUUGAAGGAGGGGAGAACGACUGCUGCAGCGCGGAGGGGGGGUGGAUGGCGGCUUGGGGGGUGACACCCGCGUGCGCGGGGGAGGGGGGGGGAGUGACGGUAAGGGGAAGAGAAGAACCUGCUAACGACGUUCCAGACGCAGCAAAAAUAAACGACAAGCACCCGUCUGACC